CUUCCUCGGCCACCGUACCACUGUCGGAAAAGAAACGCGAUGGCGACGGUGCUGUUUGUUUUCCAACGCGGAGCUCAUAAUUGAACUCAAUUUUAUCAACGCAAUAACAAAAUACAGUGGAUAUUUCUGAAACUUUGCCAACUCAUAACCUACAGAAUAUAACAAUGGAUCCAGAAAGCAGAUCGAGGAAGAGGCACCAGGAGGAAGAGGAGGCACCAGGCUCAGAGGGAUCUGAGGAUGACGCGUAUGUGCCAUAUGUUCCUGUCAAACAGAGGAAACAAGAGAUGCUGCAGAAGCUGCUGCGGCUGCGGGGGAAGGGCCUGACGGAGGAGGAGCAGAGGGAGAGCGGAGGCGAGCAGAGGGACGAUGAGGAGGGCGUCGGCCCGCGCUCUACUGUCAGCCUCCUCGACCAGCACCAGCACCUGAAGGAGAAGGCCGAGGCUCGAAAAGAAUCGGCAAAGGAAAAACAGCUAAAGGAGGAGGAGAAGAUCUUGGAGAGUGUGGCUGAGGGAAGAGCGCUGAUGUCCGUGAAGGAGAUGGCCAAGGGAAUCACAUACGAGGAUCCAAUAAAAACCAGCUGGAGGCCGCCACGCUACAUCCUGAACAUGCCCUUGGCGCGGCAUGACCGCGUGAGGAAGAAGUACCACGUCCUGGUGGAGGGAGAAGGAAUCCCUCCUCCCAUCAAGAGUUUCAGGGAGAUGAAGUUCCCACAAGCGAUAUUAAAGGGCUUGAAGAAGAAAGGCAUCGUUCAUCCCACGCCCAUUCAGAUCCAAGGAAUCCCAACCAUCCUCUCAGGACGGGACAUGAUCGGGAUCGCCUUCACGGGUUCGGGGAAGACUCUAGUGUUCACACUGCCCAUCACCAUGUUCUGCCUGGAGCAGGAGAAGAGACUGCCCUUCUACAAGAGAGAGGGGCCCUACGGACUCAUCAUCUGCCCUUCCAGAGAGCUGGCGCGGCAGACCCACAGCAUCAUUGAGUACUACUGCAAGCUUCUGGAGGAAGAGGGGGCCCCGCCCUUGCGCUGCGCCCUCUGCAUUGGAGGCAUGUCUGUCAAGGAUCAGAUGGAGGUGGUCAAACACGGCGUGCACAUGAUGGUGGCCACACCUGGUCGGUUGAUGGACCUCCUGCAGAAGAAAAUGGUGAGCCUGGACAUCUGCCGCUACCUGGCGCUGGACGAGGCCGACCGCAUGAUUGACAUGGGCUUCGAGGAGGACAUCCGCACCAUCUUCUCCUACUUCAAGGGCCAGAGGCAGACGCUGCUGUUUAGCGCCACCAUGCCGAAGAAGAUUCAAAACUUUGCCAAGAGCGCCCUGGUGAAGCCCAUCACCAUCAAUGUGGGCCGCGCUGGGGCGGCCAGUCUGGACGUCAUUCAGGAAGUGGAGUACGUGAAAGAGGAAGCCAAAAUGGUGUACCUCCUGGAGUGCCUGCAGAAGACUCCGCCCCCCGUGCUGAUGUUUGCAGAGAAGAAGGCGGACGUGGACGCCAUCCACGAGUACCUUCUGCUGAAGGGCGUGGAGGCGGUGGCUAUUCACGGAGGGAAAGACCAGGAGGAGAGGACGAAGGCUAUUGAAGCCUUUAAGGAAGGGAAGAAGGAUGUGCUGGUAGCCACAGAUGUGGCCUCCAAGGGGCUGGAUUUUCCUGCCAUCCAGCACGUGGUGAACUACGACAUGCCCGAGGAGAUCGAGAACUACGUCCACAGAAUUGGGCGUACUGGAAGAUCGGGGAAGACUGGGAUCGCCACCACCUUCAUCAACAAGGGCUGCGACGAGUCAGUCCUGAUGGAUCUGAAGGCUCUGCUGAUCGAGGCCAAGCAGAAGGUGCCGCCCGUGCUGCAGGUGCUGCAGACCGGCGACGAGACCAUGCUGGACAUCGGAGGGGAGCGAGGCUGUACGUUUUGCGGCGGUCUGGGCCAUCGGAUCACAGACUGCCCCAAACUGGAAGCCAUGCAGACCAAGCAGGUCACCAACAUCGGCCGCAAGGACUACCUGGCACACAGCUCCAUGGACUUCUGAGCUCCUCUGGACUGUUUCUCUCUGGCUGUCUUCACCCAUCUCGCUCUCUCUCUCUCUCUCUCUCUCUGUCUUCACCCAUCUCUCUCUCUCUCUCUCUCUCUUCACCCAUCCAUCUCUCUCUCUCUCUUCCUCAUGUUUAUCUGUCCUGUCCAAUCUCUCUCUCUCUCUCUCUCUUUCUCUUUCUCUUUACCUUCCUUUCUCUCUCAGUUGCCCUAUUUUGAAUAUUUUUAUCUGAUGGGCACCUGUUUUGAAGCUCCCUUAUCACGGUCACUGCCGGUGGGGUGGGGGAUGUAGUGAUUGCUCAUUUCCAGAACGUUCUGUAGGUAAAUGCCUCAAGCGUGUUUCCCUGCUCACCCUCUCCACACUGCUGUAAAUCCCAUGUGCUUUUACAAGGCUUCCUUUUGUAUGGAUUUUCUGAAGGAAAACUCCAGUGUUGAUGUGAUGUAAAUAAAGUUACAAACAGAGCUUGA